UCACCAGAUUUUAUAAUUCCUCUCUUCGUUUUGUGCUCUGCUAACCAUUCUUCAACAACAGAGUCCAUUUCUCUAGAAACCUUCUUCAUUGCUUUCUCAUGGCCUCCUAUAUCCAGCCAUCUUAAAUAAGGUAAAAAAUCAGCCACAACAAAAGCUCCUAACAAUUCGAAAAAUCUUCGAAUUGCUUUGUGAGCCUUAUUUAUUCCUUCGUCCUCAUUACUCCUUCGCCCUUUUCCGAAUAACAUUUUCCCCAUA